UGGCUCAUUGGUAGAGCGCUUGCCUUGCAUGCAUGAGGCCCUGAGUUUGAUUCCUCAG
rnacentral:tRNA from 1 species